GACGAACGCUGGCGGCGUGCUUAACACAUGCAAGUGGUGCGACGAACCAGGGCUUGCCCUGGGGCAAAGCCGCGAACGGGUGAGUAACACGUGAGUAACCUGCCCCGAUGACCGGGACAACCCGAGGAAACUCGGGCUAAUACCGGAUGUGGCGCACAGGCAUCGGCUUGUUCGCUAAAGGAAGCUUCGGCCUCCGCAUUGGGGAGGGCUCGCGGCCCAUUAGCUUGUUGGUGGGGUAACGGCCACCAAGGCAACGAUGGGUAGCUGGUCUGAGAGGACGAUCAGCCACACUGGGACUGAGACACGGCCCAGACUCCUACGGGAGGCAGCAGUGGGGAAUCUUGCGCAAUGCGCGAAAGCGUGACGCAGCAACGCCGCGUGGGGGAAGACGGCCUCGG
rnacentral:rRNA from 1 species